rnacentral:pre_miRNA from 1 species
AAAGUACUUCCUCCGUCCCAAAAUUCUUGUCUUAGAUUUUUCUAGAUACGGAUGUAUCAAGUCACAUUUUAGUAUUAGAUACAUCCAUAUCUAGAUAAAUCUAAGACAAGAAAUUUGGGACAGAGGGAGUAGUUG